GAUGAACGCUGGCGGCGUGCUUAACACAUGCAAGUCGAACGAUGAUGCCCAGCUUGCUGGGUGGAUUAGUGGCGAACGGGUGAGUAACACGCGAGUAACCUGCCCUUUACUCUGGGAUAAGCCUGGGAAAAUGGGUCUAAUACCGGAUACGACCAUCCGGCCCAUGUCAUGGUGGUGGGAAGCUUUUGUGGUUUUGGAUGGACUCGCGGCCUAUCAGCUUGUUGGUGGGGUAAUGGCCUACCAAGGCGACGACGGGUAGCCGGCCUGAGAGGGUGACCGGCCACACUGGGACUGAGACACGACCCAGACUCCUACAGGAGGCAGCAGUGCAGAAUAUUUCACAAUGGGCGCAAGCCUGAUGCAGCGACGCCGCGUGAGGGAUGACGGCCUUCGGGUUGUAAACCUCUUUCAGUAGGGAAGAAGCGAAAGUGACGGUACCUGCAGAAGAAGCGCCGGCUAACUACGUG
rnacentral:rRNA from 1 species